UACAGAGGUCUCAAGCGUUGUUCGGAUUCAUUGGGCGUAAAGGGUGCGUAGGCGGCGCGGUAAGUCGGGUGUGAAAUCUCCAGGCUCAACCUGGAAAUGGCAUUGGAUACUAUUUAGCUUGAGGAGUGGAGGGGGGGACUGGAAUUCUCGGUGUAGCAGUGAAAUGCGUAGAUAUCAGGAGGAACACCUGUGGUGUAGACAGCUUACUGGACCACUUCUGACGCUGAGACACGAAAAGCGUGGGUAGCAAAACAGG
rnacentral:rRNA from 1 species